rnacentral:tRNA from 1 species
CGGGACUGACGGGGCUCGAACCCCCAACUUCCCCCUUGACAGGGCGGUGCUCUGACCAAUUGAACUACAAUCCC